UGAGGCAGGAGAAUUGCUUGAACCCAGGAGGUGGAGGUUGCAGUGAGCCGAGAUCGUGCCAAUAUACUCCAGCCUGGGUGACAGAGUGAGACUCCAUCUC
rnacentral:miRNA from 1 species